rnacentral:rRNA from 1 species
UACGGAGGGUGCAAGCGUUGUUCGGAAUUAUUGGGCGUAAAGGGCAGGUAGGUGGUCUUGAAAGUCUGCUGUGAAAUCCCCGGGCUUAACUCGGGAAGUGCGGCAGAUACUCCAAGACUAGAGUGCUGGAGGGGUUCGUGGAAUUCCCGGUGUAGCGGUGAAAUGCGUAGAUAUCGGGAAGAACACCCGUGGCGAAGGCGGCUCUCUGGGACGGUACUGACGCUGAGACGCGAAAGCGUGGGGAGCGAACAGG